CAAAUUAAAAAUAAAGGGGAAAAACCCCUAUAAUCGUUUGGCAAGGGAGCUUUCUUCUGAAGUUUGUAGUGCUAGUCAUUGUGCUGCAGUAGUAGGGAUUGUGCCAGGUUUAGUGCAAUUGUGCUGCUAAGUGGCUAAAUUACCGACUUGGCUUGCUACAGGUGUGUGGCUGCCUUAAAGGGAGUUCAGCUGCACUUGAGAAUAAAUUAAUAAAUAGAAAUAUUGGUAGCAGCUGGGUUUGCUGCUUUAGAAUCCUGCCACACAUCUUCCUGGGAGAGAAGAUACUGCUGCCUUCAUUAUUUUUCUCUUGUCCUUGACGCAAAACUGUCUGAGCAUUGAACCAAAUGCUUAGUAGGCUGUCCAGCAAACCAGAAUACUGUUGAUUUACCCAGCUUUUCACCUCUGUGCCAGAAAUAUUUACAUGUAGUCUUCACACUGUUGAUUCUUCCUGGUUCUCCUCCCUUCUGGACAAUCCUCUGGAAACAGCAGAUGCAUUUCCCGGUUGGCCUCAGCUGGACACAUGGAUUGAUUUGGAACCUGCAUUGAUUAGGUAAUUCGCACACAGAGAAGAACAACAGAAGCCAAACUGGGAAGGUGGCAGCCUACGAAAUGUUACAUCAGCACAAGCAAGUUUCCUAUGUGUACGGCAGCCUUGCAUUGAAUUGGAUGAAGAAAAGUGGAGUCUUGAUCACCCAAAUCCAUGCCUUUAACUUAAGCACAAUUCCAACACCCACGAAACAGAGCACUCUGUUUCACUGUGAGUUUGGUGCUGGAUCUCUUAAGCAUGACACAAACCAGUGGGAUAUGAUGGCAACACUGCAGCUGAACAUAGACUUAUUUUAACAGGAUUUAGUGAUUUAUUGCAUCAGGUGGAACAGCAUGGUACAAGGUAGCAUGCUAUGAUUAGAUUUAAGCAAUGUAACUCAAUGUGAUAGCUGAAAUGUCAAGAGGGGAAGACAUCCAUUUUUCUGGUCAGCCAAUACUAAUUCUGCUACCUGAUGUCCAGUGUAAUUUUUGCAAAGAAUGAGAACAGUGGGGGAAAGUUUACAAGGUGAGAUAUAUGUAGCUUUUCUGAACAAGCAACAUCAUGAACAGAAUGAUUUAUAAUAGAGGGAUAACAAUCUACGUUUAUAUCUAGCUGCUUUAGCUGUAACUAGCAGUUAGAUGGAAUCAUUCAAGAUCAAAUCAUCCUUAAUCCCAGUUCAGAACUUCUGUUCUUACAGCCCAUCCGUUGACAUGACAAAUUUGUCAAAUUUUGGAAGAUGGUUGCUCUGUAAUUUUACCAUACCCCAAAGUGGUGCUGUGUAAAUAAAUCAAUCUGAGAACUGA